AACUGGCUCGAGUGCGAAACGCUCCGGCGCCAUAGGAUGUGGCUGCGGCCGAUUAGGUAGACGGUGGGGUAACGGCCCACCGUGCCGAUAAUCGGUACGGGUUGUGAGAGCAAGAGCCCGGAGACGGUAUCUGAGACAAGAUACCGGGCCCUACGGGGCGCAGCAGGCGCGAAACCUUUACACUGCACGCCAGUGCGAUAAGGGGACUCCAAGUGCGAGGGCAUAUAGUCCUCGCUUUUCACGACCGUAAGGUGGUCGUAGAAUAAGUGCUGGGCAAGACCGGUGCCAGCCGCCGCGGUAAUACCGGCAGCACGAGUGAUGACCGCUAUUAUUGGGCCUAAAGCGUCCGUAGCUGGCCUCGCAAGUCCAUCGGGAAAUCUGUCCGCUUAACGGACAGGCGUCCGGUGGAAACUGCGUGGCUUGGACCGGAAGAUCCAGAGGGUACGUCUGGGGUAGGAGUGAAAUCCCGUAAUCCUGGACGGACCGCCGGUGGCGAAAGCGCUCUGGAAAGACGGAUCCGACGGUGAGGGACGAAAGCUCGGGUCACGAACCGGAUUAGAUACCCGGGUAGUCCGAGCUGUAAACGAUGUCUGCUAGGUGUGACACAGGCUACGAGCCUGUGUUGUGCCGUAGGGAAGCCGUGAAGCAGACCGCCUGGGAAGUACGUCCGCAAGGAUGAAACUUAAAGGAAUUGGCGGGGGAGCACUACAACCGGAGGAGCCUGCGGUUUAAUUGGACUCAACGCCGGACAUCUCACCAGCAUCGACAACGUGCCGUGAAGGUCAGUGUGAUGAGCUUACUGGAGCCGUUGAGAGGAGGUGCAUGGCCGCCGUCAGCUCGUACCGUGAGGCGUCCUGUUAAGUCAGGCAACGAGCGAGACCCGCACUCCUAAUUGCCAGCAACACCCUUGUGGUGGUUGGGUACAUUAGGAGGACUGCCAGUGCCAAACUGGAGGAAGGAACGGGCAACGGUAGGUCAGUAUGCCCCGAAUGUGCUGGGCGACACGCGGGCUACAAUGGCCAAGACAGUGGGACGCAACCCCGAAAGGGGACGCUAAUCUCCGAAACUUGGUCGUAGUUCGGAUUGAGGGCUGAAACUCGCCCUCAUGAAGCUGGAUUCGGUAGUAAUCGCGCCUCAGAAGGGCGCGGUGAAUACGUCCCUGCUCCUUGCACACACCGCCCGUCAAAGCACCCGAGUGAGGUCCGGAUGAGGCCCUGAUUACAGGGUCGAAUCUG
rnacentral:rRNA from 1 species